GACGAACGCUGGCGGCGCGCCUAACACAUGCAAGUCGAACGGAGCUUAGAGAGCUUGCUUUUUAAGCUUAGUGGCGAACGGGUGAGUAACGCGUGAGUAACCUGCCCUAGAGUGGGGGACAACAGUUGGAAACGACUGCUAAUACCGCAUAAGCCCACGGUACCGCAUGGCACUGAGGGAAAAGGAUUUAUUCGCUUUAGGAUGGACUCGCGUCCAAUUAGCUAGUUGGUGAGGUAACGGCCCACCAAGGCGACGAUUGGUAGCCGGACUGAGAGGUUGAACGGCCACAUUGGGACUGAGACACGGCCCAGACUCCUACGGGAGGCAGCAGUGGGGGAUAUUGCACAAUGGGGGAAACCCUGAUGCAGCGACGCCGCGUGGAGGAAGAAGGUUUUCGGAUUGUAAACUCCUGUCGUUAGGGACGAUAAUGACGGU
rnacentral:rRNA from 1 species